ensembl:misc_RNA 7SK 7SK RNA
GGAGGGUUUGUAUGACAUCUGUCAUCCCUUUGAUUGCCAGGGUGGAUGGGGCUGAUCUGGCUGGCUAGGUAGGUGUCCUUCCUUCCUUUACUGCUCCGUGUGUGUCCUUCCCGAAGCUGUGCGCUUGGGGAGGACAACCACCCGGGAGAGGAGGACGGUCUGCUUGGUCAAGGGUGUGUGAGUAGUGUGUGGGUAGCUGUGCUGCCCUGCUGGAACUGUUGCAGUAAGGCUUCCGGUAACCAGCAGAGAAUUGGUAGUUAAGUUUUUUGGGAAUCAAAAAUUAUACGUGGUUUUUCAAAAACUCCUCUCAUGU